GACAGAGGAUGCAAGCGUUAUCCGGAAUCAUUGGGCGUAAAGAGCGUGUAGGCGGCCCGAUAAGUCCGCUGUGAAAGUCCAGGGCUCAACCCUGGGAUGCCGGUGGAUACUGUCGGGCUCGAGUCCGGAAGAGGAGUGUGGAAUUCCUGGUGUAGCGGUGAAAUGCGCAGAUAUCAGGAGGAACACCAAUGGCGAAGGCAGCACUCUGGGACGUGACUGACGCUGAGACGCGAAAGCGUGGGGAGCAAACAGG
rnacentral:rRNA from 1 species